rnacentral:RNase_P_RNA from 1 species
GAAGCUGACCAGACAGUCGCCGCUUCGUCGUCGUCCUCUUCGGGGGAGACGGGCGGAGGGGAGGAAAGUCCGGGCUCCAUAGGGCAGGGUGCCAGGUAACGCCUGGGGGGGAAACCCACGACCAGUGCAACAGAGAGCAAACCGCCGAUGGCCCGCGCAAGCGGGAUCAGGUAAGGGUGAAAGGGUGCGGUAAGAGCGCACCGCGCGGCUGGUAACAGUCCGUGGCACGGUAAACUCCACCCGGAGCAAGGCCAAAUAGGGGUUCAUAAGGUACGGCCCGUACUGAACCCGGGUAGGCUGCUUGAGCCAGUGAGCG